GACGAACGCUGGCGGCGUGCUUAACACAUGCAAGUCGAACGCUGAAGCUCAGCUUUUGUUGGGUGGAUGAGUGGCGAACGGGUGAGUAACACGUGAGUAACCUGCCCCCUUCUUUGGGAUAACGCCCGGAAACGGGUGCUAAUACUGGAUAUUCACUGGUCUUCGCAUGGGGGUUGGUGGAAAGGGUUUUUCUGGUGGGGGAUGGGCUCGCGGCCUAUCAGCUUGUUGGUGGGGUGAUGGCCUACCAAGGCUUUGACGGGUAGCCGGCCUGAGAGGGUGACCGGUCACAUUGGGACUGAGAUACGGCCCAGACUCCUACGGGAGGCAGCAGUGGGGAAGAUUGCACAAUGGGCGCAAGCCUGAUGCAGCGACGCCGCGUGAGGGAUGGAGGCCUUCGGGUUGUGAACCCCUUUCGCUCAUGGUCAAGCCGCAACAAUGGUUGUGGUGAGGGUAGUGGGUAAAGAAGCGCCGGCUAACUACGUG
rnacentral:rRNA from 1 species